AGCGAACGCUGGCGGCAGGCUUAACACAUGCAAGUCGAGCGCCCCGCAAGGGGAGCGGCAGACGGGUGAGUAACACGUGGGAACGUACCCUUUGGUUCGGAACAACCCAGGGAAACUUGGGCUAAUACCGGAUAAGUCCGCGAGGAGAAAGAUUUAUCGCCGAAGGAUCGGCCCGCGUCUGAUUAGCUAGUUGGUGUGGUAACGGCGCACCAAGGCGACGAUCAGUAGCUGGUCUGAGAGGAUGAUCAGCCACACUGGGACUGAGACACGGCCCAGACUCCUACGGGAGGCAGCAGUGGGGAAUAUUGGACAAUGGGGGCAACCCUGAUCCAGCCAUGCCGCGUGAGUGAUGAAGGCCCUAGGGUUGUAAAGCUCUUUCGGUGGGGAAGAUAAUGACGGUACCCACAGAAGAAGCCCCGGCUAACUUCGU
rnacentral:rRNA from 1 species